UUCCAACCUCUCUUCUCUCCAUUCCCCUUCCAAGUCAAAAGAGAAAAAAGGGAAAAAGAAGGCGAGACAGCGGCAUCCGCUAAACCCCAAAUCUGUGCGUCGGCCGCCGCCCGCCGCCGGACGGAUCCGGCCAUCUCUCGAGAAAAGAAAAACAAGAAGGCAAGAAGACGAAAAAUAGGGAAAAAAAGAAGAAGAAAGAUAGAGACGAGAGAGAGAGAGAGAGGCAAUUUUUCAUCAAGAACUUCAAUAGGUAGGGUUUCGGAGAUUUCGUUUACCAGUUGAUUUUUGCUGGACGGUAUAGUGUUUAUGGAUCCUAUGAUGGAAGAGCAGUUGGAUUAUGGGGAUGAGGAGUAUGGGGGAAGCCAGAAAUUGCAGUACCAGGGAAGUGGAGGAGCGAUCCCGGCAAUUGCAGAGGAGGAGAUGAUGGGGGAGGAUGAUGAGUAUGAUGAUCUCUAUAAUGAUGUCAACAUUGGUGAGGAUUUCAUGCAGACCAUGCAGCAAAGGCGCGAGCCACCUGUUUCUCUCAGCAAUGGUGGAUUACUUAACCAGAAGACAGAUGGCCCUGGUUCAGCCACUCCCCAGAUGGGAGGCCAGGCCAGUGUGAGCAUCGCAGGACUUGGGGAGGAAGGGAAGGAGCUGAAGCCUGCUUAUGGGCCCCUGGAAACUGAGCAGAAGUCUGGUGGGUUGCUUGCUAGAAAGGGAUUGGAAGAGGGGAGUGGUGAUUUUCCUGAAGGGUUUUCUCAUCAAGGAAGUAAGGCUCCAGAGACUGUCCAAGAGAGUAAUGUAGGGAAUGCUGGGUUUCAUGGAAAUUCUGCAGCACCUUCGCCACCAAAACCUGGUAUGGAUCCCAAGUAUGCUGGUGGGCCUUUGUCACUAACAUCAGAUUCGGCGAGAAGUGGUGUCAGGAACCCCCAGCCGGUGCCUGUGAAUCAGGCAGUAACAACUGCCGCAUACCAUGUGGUGAUGAAUGAUAAUUCAAGGUCAGGAAUGGGAUUGGUGGGUAAUGAUGGCGCAGCCAUGCUCGUUGUGGGGGACCUGCACUGGUGGACAACUGAUGCUCAGCUUGAGAGUGUGAUGUCGCAGUAUGGGAGGGUGAAGGAGAUCAAGUUCUUUGAAGAGAGAGCUAGUGGGAAGUCGAAGGGUUACUGUCAGGUUGAGUUCUAUGAUGCUACAGCUGCAGCUGCCUGUAAGGAAGGAAUGUAUGGUCAUGCUUUUAAUGGGCGAACUUGUGUGGUGGAAUAUGCUUCUCCUCAGAUUUUGAAGCAGAUGGGUGCAGCUUAUACGAGCAGACAAUCUCAAGCACAACCUCAGCAACAGGGAAGGAGGCAGAUGAAUAGUGGGAUGGGUAGAGGUGGUGGAUGGGGUGGUCGAGGUGGACAGGGACCGCCCAACAGGGGUCAAGGCAAUGCUGGGCCCAUGAGGGGAAGGGGAGCUAUGGGUGCAAAAGGAAUGGGGGGGCCUGGUGGUGGAUUUGGGACUGGGGCCACUGGUGGCCCAUAUGGGCCUGCAGGAGGGAUGAUGCACCCGCAGGGAAUGAUGGGUGCAGCAUUUGACCCGACAUACAUGGGUGGAGGCGGCCCUUAUGGAGGCUUUUCUGGUCCUGCUUUUCCUGGGAUGAUGCCUCCUUUCCAAGCAGUGAGCAGUGUUGGCCUUCCCGGAGUGGCACCUCAUGUUAACCCAGCUUUCUUUGGCCGUGGGAUGUCUGGAAAUGCAAUGGGAAUGAUGGGUGGCAAUGGGAUGGAAGGGCAUUCUGCAGGGAUGUGGACUGAUAUGGGCAUAGGUGGGUGGACAGGGGAGGAUCAUGGAAGAAGGACAAGGGAAUCAAGUUAUGGUGGUGAUGAUGUUGCUGCUGACUAUGGCUAUGGGGAGGUGAACAAUGAGAGAGUUGAGAGAUCAAAUGCAUCUCGAGAGAAGGAAAGAGGUUCAGAGCGGGACUGGUCAGGGAGCUCUGAGAGGAGGUAUCGUGAUGAGAGGGAAAAAGAGCGGGACAGGUCUGAUAAGGAACGAUACAGGGAGGAGAAAGACAGGUAUAUGGACCAUAGGCAGAGGGAUAGAGAUUGGGAUAACGAAGGUGACUGGGAUGGAGGGCAUUCUUCUUCCAGGUCUCGAAACAAGUCACGGACGGUGCAAGAAGAAUAUUACAGGUCUCACUCUAGGGAUGCGGACUAUGGAAAAAGACGUCGCCUACCUUCGGAUUGAAGGAUGUUUUCAAAGAACUGAUGACGGCAACUGGUUUCAUAUUCCUGGGGUCAAUCUUGGGUGCUGACUGCUGCUUGCCACUACUCUCGCUGCUAAUGGUUGGUACCGCAUGCAGGCUAGCCCCUGGGAUGAAAAUUCAAGGAAGACACCACUGGUCAAAUUUGAUACUUGACUGCUAAUGGAGCUUAUUAAAUCAGUCCUAGAUGAAAUUAAAUACAUGUUGGUGUAUUCAAUAGCUACAUAAGGUGGAUGGUUUCUAAUUUUAUUGUUGCUAUUUGGAGCACGGGCUGAGGAGACAACAUUCAUUCCUGUAGGCAUAGCUUGUGUCACUAGGAUAUGUGGCUUCUAGUUGUAUUCAAAACCUCAUGACAUUUCAGCCAUGACUGCAUUUGUAUUCUUGGAAGAUAGUUUCUCUACAUGCUCAAAUUGUAAAUUAUGUAAAAUUUUGUAACCAGCAUAGUAUGAAAAAAAUCUGGGUUUGGAGUUGUAUCAUUUUGGGAUUUUGGGUAUUUAGUUGUGUCUGGAGUUCUAUAUGCAAAUCCCAGUUGCAUUGUACAUCAGGUAGGAGUCACCUGGAUGCCACUAUGGGAGCAUGUGGCUGACAUUUGGCUUGUUUGGUGGUUUUUCCACUACUCAACUCUUCUAUUUCUAUGUUGAUUAGGGUCCAUUUCUGAAAUUUUUUUGUAUAUUUGACCCUCAACCAAACAUCAUUUGUCAAGCAAGUUCUUGCUCAUAAUACAGUGUAACAGGGAGAAUACCCUAUGAUUUGUAAUUGCAGAUAAGCUUUUAUUUUUUAUUUUUUAUUAUCCUCCCCCCUUCCAAGUGAUUUGCACUUGCUCAUGUAUUAAAAUUGCUUCUAAUUGAUUUUUUAACAUUUGAAACACUUGAUGUAGCAAAAAAAAACACUUGGUUUUUGUUAAACCAUGCCAUUGGAUUUUUUUUUGAAAUGGAUAUGCAUUAUCUGUUUUGUACUUUGCGUGACGUUCAAUAUCAAAAACUUUUGAAUAUGAAAUUCUAAAAGAUUUUGGCUGCAAGAAAAUGCAACAUCCAGCCGUUACAUGGGUCUACUUCCUUUUGGGUAUCUGUGUAUUCGAACCUUUUAUUAUGAAUGCUUGUCAAGAUGAUGUUUCUUUCUUUGUCCUAUAUGUUGUAUUAUGCUCUGUAUCAAUCUGGAAGAUCCUUGGGAUUGUAUUAGGAUAAAUAGUGUUGUAAAAGGUAAUGCAGUCAUGUUGGUUCUUGGUCCUUUUUUUUCUUGUAUGUGGGGGGUGGGUGUAAGAGUGGGUAUUUGAAUGUAUUAAUAGCAAGUUGCAAGCUCUUGUCAAGCUUCAUCGGCGUAGUUUCUGAAUCAAGUUAAUUAAUGAUUGGAGGUCGAAGUGCAUUUGUUCAUCCAAACGUAGCUGGUUUCGAGGAAGUUUCCUGACCAGCAGAUUCAUCAUUGAUUAUUGAAGUCCUUUGCAGUCUGCUGCGUGAUCCAUAUACUGUGCAUCUUUGAUUUGAAGACUUAAAUGUAUAUAGUCUGCUUUUGUUACAGCUGCAUCAUUUUUUGGGUUUUCGAGGUAUUGCUGUCCCUUUGCCAUGUUUCUGUUCUUGGUUACGAAGGGAGCUCAGUGUUUUGCGAUUGAACAAUCCUUAGCUCUUGUAUUUUGAUCUUAUUGUGCUGCCAUCCCCUCCUCUUUUUUUAUUUAUUUUUGUAGAAGGGAUUUUAUUGCCCCUUGAUGUACUCAUGUUGUUGCUGAAAAUGUUAUUUGACCAUCCGUCAUUUGAGGUCA